ensembl:lncRNA
UUUUUUUUUUUUUUUUUUUUUUGGAGUUCCUAAUUACACAUCCUUUCAUUUCACAUCCCGAUAUUGAGGGCAGCACUGUAUUUCCAAGCCUCUGGCUGCUGAGCCUUCAGGGACACUCUGCCUGCGGAUCGUGGUGAAUUUUUUAGAGGGUAACAUCUCCCUUCUUGACUCUGAUUCUUUCCCAUGCCUGUGACACAGUUUUAGCAGCUUUACGCUGCUCUAAAGGUAAAUUAUUCGAGACUGUUUCUAUCGUGCAAAGCUGUCAGUCUCUCAAAAAUAAUUGCAGAGCCAGCUCCCUCCAGCCUUUGCUUCCCCGAGCCUGCUACCACCCUUCCGUGACACCCUGUGAACACCCACACCCCCAGUGAGACCCAAAACCCACCGCCCAAACCAGGACCACCUUAACAUUCCUCUCACUGCAAAUCCAACGCAGCACAAGAGGACAGGAGAUGCCUUCUCCCUGGAAAAACAUCCAUCCUCUCACACAGAGCUGAUACCAAGCUGCUUUUACACAUGCUACUAAGUUUUCUAGCCUUUCCAUUCUCCAAGUCCGGAAAUUUCAUUACAUGGCAUUUCAGCCACACACAAACCCAGCACCAGCACAGACACACUUGCACCUAACAGCAAAAUAAAUAUUUCAGUGUUUCCACAAGAUAUCCAGUGUUGCAACCUUUGGUUUCCGAAUCCAAACGCAACAUACAAUCAAUACCCUGCUCCUGCCACUGCAGUAAUUCACAGCGGAAGGUUUAUUUUAAAAACACUCAUCGGGUAAGUUUGGUUUUCUUCGAGGCAGGGGAAGAAAGAAAAAAACAUCACUUUCUUCUGACUCCAGCUCCCUCCCCAGCACUGCCACCCGCUCGCUGUGGGGAUCCGUGAGGAAGUGCCUCCCAAUCCCUCGGCCUUCCCAGGCUGCAAUUCCAGCCUCUGCUCACUACAGCUGCACGCCUUAGCCACGCGGUGAGCUCCAGAAAACAGGAACAAACCUGGAGACGGAGCUUCCAGACGUCCUCCUUGGGAGCUCACGCUCACCCAGCCAACGCUGAGAGGGGCAGGAAAAGCCAGGAUGGUUUCUCAGCCGUGAGCUCUGGCCAGACGCCGGCAGGGCCCCAAGGGAGGAGGAGCAGAGGGAGUGGGGAGGCUGCUCCUGCAGCACCCACCCGAGCCCUGCACCGGGUUCCUGAGCCAUGGGGCUCCCGUGCCACCCCCGAGGGACAGGGGACCAUGUGGGUCACCUUGGAAAGACACAUGACCAUGGAGUUCCCACUGGAUGUACACACAACCAGCAGGACCGUGCUGGAUGGAUGCAGGACCAAACAGACCAUGUUGGAUGGACAGAGGACCACAAAGAGCCCACUGGACAGACACAGAACCAAACCAAUCACCUUGGAUGGACACAGGACCACAAAGACCCCACUGGACAGACACAGAACCAAACCAAUCACGUUGGAUGGACACAGGACCACAAAGGUCCCACUGGAUGGACACAAGACCAUGUAGGUGAUGUAGAAUGGACACAAGACCAUUGAAAUCAUGUUGGAUGGACACAGGACCAUGUAGAUCCCACUGGAUGAACACUGGACCACACAGAAGACCAUCUCUUCCCCCACAGAAGAGGGAAAGAGCUGCUCACCAGAGAAACCAUCCUUCCUAUCCUCCAUAACCCUCAUGGACACCAAGCCUGCACUCAUUUCACACUCCCAAAAUUAACCAUCACACAUCACCCUGCCUCACUGUCCUAGUUUGAUGAUCUGAUCAUUUCACUACAUCCUAUAGCUUGAAGAAAACAUUAGAAUCAAGACAAAGAAUUCUGGAGCCCAAAAUACCUGAUAUAAUUAACUGCACCUUCUAACAUGAUUAUUUCCUUUCCUGACCCCAAUUAUUCCUUCAGUUUAUUAAAGAAAACUCAAAUACAGAGCAACGUUAACACCCAAGGAGUCACAUAAACAGAAAAAAAAGUCUGAGGGCACCAUUACAAACAGACUUAAUGGAACUCCAAGAUUGGAAAUGGAUCUUGAAAGCUGUCAGAUCAAAGCAAGAUCUUUCUCGUGUAAGGACUGCAUUACCCUCAGAGCCACAGAGCUAAUACCAUCUAUAAAAAUAUUUUGCUCAAAUAAGUGAAGAACAGCAGCGUUUCAUCUGUCAAAAGGUGCGAGGCUUUUAUGGGAUUAGCCAUUCCACAUGCAGCAUAAAAAUUAGAGCAGAUUUUUAAAAGCCCCCAGCUCAGCUGACAGAGACUCCACAGCCCAACGUGCACCCGCUUUCUUCACAUGCGCUCCAUGCCGAGCAGAUUUUUCACUGUUAUUAGCAUUUAAGCUUCUUUUUACUUUUUUUCCCCCCUUACUCUCAUAAAAGAUUACAAACUGGCAUCACCCAUAAGCAGCCUCAGCUGAAGAACCACCACCCAGAUUCAGAGAAAUUAAGAUUUUUAAAUACCCAACAGUUGCCUGAGAAAAUACACCAGAAAACACCAGUUCUCACACAGGAAAGCUUAAAAAGUGGAGUAGAAUGUGCUCAAAACCAGCCUCCAGACCACGGGCGCUGACAGCUUCCCACCCCCCUUCCCAGCAGGAUUCCAAAGGCAGCGUUUUGCCCAGAUUUUAAGGCUGCACAAACCUGCUUAGGACGCUUGUGAUUUGAAAUAAUUGCCUACACAAGCUUUCCCUUAACAUUGAUGGGAGUAUUUUUUAUGGCCGUGCAUCGGUGGCACAAAAAUUACGUAACACUUGGCUGAGAACCCUCCAAAAAAGCAGCUCUGUGCCGCUAAUCCCUCACGCAGGAAGGAGGAAAAUAUUUAAAAGCUGCAUACAAAUCAUUCCUGUGAGUGUCGUGCAGACUGGUUUAAAUUAGAUGGGGUAAAAAUAUAUGCGAGCUGAUCACGAAACACUGGAAUCUUUGCUAUGGAGACACCGGUUCCUCUCCACAGCCUUUUACAACUGAAAUACAGGGAAUUCUCCCCGGCAAUGGAUUGAGCACACAAGCACCUUUACUAGAGCUCAUCAAGGAAAUACGAGGAGAAUAACAACCCCCAUGUAAAUAUUUUCCAGUAUUAUUUGCUUUGCUGUACUGAAAAGCAGCAGUACCUGCCACUACUUGCUCUGGGUCUACCAGCAUUAAAUCUUAAUACCCAGGAGGAAUUUCAAUCUGUAAGGCAACUGCUGAGCCUGAAAUUCAGGUACAGGGCAGGAAGAGGGGCAGACCUCCUCAGAAAGCUGUCACUCCAUAAUUUUACAAAAUGUAAUUAACCAGCUCCGGCCCUGUGCCUUUCCUUCCCUAGGAGAAGGAUUUCUUAACCCAGCAAUUAGCCUGUCCCAGUUAAGACUCAAGUCACCAUACAACAUAUUUUCCUCAAAACAAAGCCACACGCACUAUUUUUAAAAAAUAUUGCCAUUUCCUCACAGCCACUUAAAUCUCUUCCCAGCUUUUGGCUUAGUCACUGCCUGGAUCUAAAACUCACUGAAACCAACCCACCACUGUGGGAGCCGCAAAAACCCUGGGUUUAUUCCCACACUGGAGACACUUCAUCAUUCCAGAGCACUGCCUCCUUUUAAUGUAUAGAAAAGCUGGAGGUAAGGGGAAAAAAACCUCUUAGUACUUCAAACACAUGUCCAAAAGCCACAACAUAAAGACAAAGAGGACAGAUUAAACGCUGUAAAGACACACUCGUCGGGAACCUUCCUUUGAAGUGUCUGCAGGAAACACUGUCAUCACGCAGCCAUGUUACAAUUACACAGUUAAAAUAAUCAGCACCAGUUGUAAGUAGCCCAUCUGGUUCCCUGGAAAGGGAACACUGCUGGUACAGUAUUGAUUAACACGACGAGUCUCACUGACCCCAGAGAAAUGCAUUUGUCUGCUCUGCUGAGCAGCGGAAGAACGCGGCACGACGCCGCGCUACGCUUGGCUUUGUUCACAAGCAUUUCGGGAGACCUAGUCCAUUAAAACACGAGUGGGAAAUAAAAUAAUCUUAUCAGGUUGCCUACCACACACGAAGGAAGAAAUUAAGCCAAAGGCUUUUUGCUCCGGGGCUUUUUUUUAAUAUUUCCUCCCCCAUCCAAACCCAGCCCUCAAACUGGACAAUCUGUAGGUUUAAGUCGAGAAAACGCUGUUGCAACAUCAUAAAAACAAAAAGCUGCCCAUGGGGGAAAAAAAAAAAAAAUCAGCUCACUGUGAACCAUGCUGUUUUAUGUAAUGGAGAAACAGACAAGAGUUCAUUUCUAAAAGCAGAAGUGAACAGCAGAACCAAGUGCGGAACACGAAACACAACAUCUCCAGUUUCCAGCCAGCGCCGACAUGGCCGGGGCUCCUCGGUCACUGUUUGCACCAGGAACGAGGCGAAAAAAGCCUUGGGAACCGAGGGCUCGCCGUGCUUCCCAAGCCCAGCGCGUCGCUGCUCGCUGCGAGUUUGGCAAACCGAGCCCUCGGCCUGACUCAGCCAGCCCGGGGUGCCGCAAGCCCCGGCUCGCCGGACGGGUUCACGGCAAAGCCCUUCUCCAGAGGCACGAUGUGCCCCGGCAGGUC